rnacentral:hammerhead_ribozyme from 1 species
AUGCAGCUGAUGUGUCCUGAAUAGGACGAAACGUGCGUCAAACUGGAU